rnacentral:rRNA from 1 species
GACAGAGGGUGCAAACGUUGUUCGGAAUUACUGGGCGUAAAGCGUGUGUAGGCGGCUAGGUAAGUCGGAUGUGAAAGCCCCGGGCUCAACCCCGGGAAGUGCACUCGAUACUGCUUAGCUCGAGUACCGGAGAGGUUGGUGGGAAUUCUCGGUGUAGAGGUGAAAAUUCGUAGAUAUCGAGAGGAACACCGGUGGCGAAGCGGCCAACUGGACGAGUACUGACGUGAAGACACGAAAAGCCGUGGGGGAGCAAAACAGG